CGAGGAUCCGGCGCGGAUCAAAACCGCCGGUAUCCAUUGCGCCGGCGCGGAUCCCCUUCUGGACCUGACGCUAGACAGGUCCAGGACAUGGCGCCAGCUUCAACGGUGUACAAGAUCCGCCCUCCAGGUAUCACAUAUCUGAAAUUUACAUCCAGAUCUGGAACUUACAUCCAUACACAAAGACAAUGGUAUGAACCUACAUAGCAAAUCUGAAAUUUACAUGAUUUCAUAUACACAGUCAUCACAUACACACUGCCAGCACAUACACACAGACAUAUCUGGAAUUUACAUCCAUACAGAAAUACAAUGGUAUGAACCUACAUAGUAGAUGUGAAAUUUACAUGAUUUCAUAUACACAGCCAUCACAUACACACUGCCAGCACAUGCACACAGACAUAUCUGAAAUUUACAUAUAUACACAAAGACAAUGGUGUGAAACUCACAAAAUACAAAUCAAUAACAUAAUAGAUGCAAGCCAAAACUACUUCUAAGUAGCAAACCAGUGAACAACUAUAAACCGUAGAACUUAGGGAACCACAGCCAAAAAAAAUGUGACUGCGUGUAAAAAUAAAAGAAAUAUUUCUUUGCAGGUAGGACGUGCCAGAGUUCUUCAAAACAUUUGAUGCAGAAGAUUUAGUGCAAAGGAGAAUGAUAUAUAUUUCACUCUCAAAAAUAUAAACAAAGGUUAUCCCAGAAUCAAAAGCUCCCACUUGUUGUGGGGUCCUGGGAAAGGGAAUUAUUAGGUUCUUACCCAACAUUUCCCUUGUUUGAUUUUUUAAGGAUACUGACUCAAACCCUGGACUUCCAGGAUACAAGUGGAGAUAUUGCCAUUCUCUUGAGAAACAAGCCCAAUAAUAAGGGUUUGGUUCUAAAAGUAAUCCUGGACCUCGAGGACACAGAUGGAGAUAAUUUGUUUGUUAAUGAUAGCUCAACGAGAAAUUAAAAAAUGAUAAUCAAAUUAACGGUAUAAAUAUGAACCUAGCGUUCCAUAUCAUGUGCUCUGGUACGGGUCCCAAAACCCUCUCCAUCAUUGCUAUGUGUUCCAGGUUCUCAUGUGUCUGAAACAUAUAUCAAGGUAAAAGAGGAAAGACAGGCAUCACAAGCAAUCUAACCGAGCCUAAGCCUGCCAAAGGAAUAUUCCAUAACAUCAGAACUCAGGAUUCCACUCUUGGAGUAGAAACAGUAGCCACUGCUACAGCAGUUGGUCUAACACCAAGGAAAAAGGAGAAAAGAUGAGUUCUUAUUCAACAAAGAAAGAACAGAGUUCAGUAUAAUCAAUAUUUAUCGGUAGUUCAGUGGGGUAGAAUAAGAGGAUCAUUGUGCAGGUUUCAGCUUGACAUGUAUAAAACGCACUGUACAAUUUAGACCAAUAAAUACCCAACUGUAGUAACCACUAACGGGCACUCUACAUGUGCCUUUUGCUGAAUGUGUUCUAUGUUUAGAUUAAAGUUCAAGAUCUGCUUAAAGUUCAAGAUAGAAUAAAGUCGAGGAACUCAAUGAUUGACUGUUGAUGCUUUGAAUUAAAGUACCUUCUUAUUCAUGCCUUCAAGUUCGCCAUAUCUCUUGCGUUCAUGUUGCAUCCAUUAUAUCCAUCUGAUCAUCUCCCAGGCCUCAAAAACACCAGAGCCAGCGGUCAUUUCAUUUGCGAGUGGGUAAUGCAAGAAGCAAAGCCGGUGAACAUGAACAAGAAGAUGGCAUAGCUACAGGUGGUGUUCACUGUACUAUGAAUACUUGCUUUUCUGCUAAUUACGCUUCUUGCAUAAUGUGUUGCAGAUCAGAUGAGCGUAAAACAUGCUGAAGAAUACAACGCAAACUUGAUACCCGUUGAUGAACAAGUAGAUGCUAUUCGCGCGAUUGAACCAGGUAUAUAAACUGUGAAAAUACUGUGAUGUGAUGCCUAACGUGCAAGUCUAAAAAUGACUUGUACCAUGCUUAAUGUCUUGCAGCACCUACGAGCGUGACAAAAAUGAAAGAUGGUAAUCCAAACAACAUAUCCAUAGCUGCAGAUGUUGAUCCUUUUUACACGACGGAGACAGGUACAUGAUUGAUUGCGUGCAUAGCAGACAAAUAUUGAAGUUGUAUUCAUGCUUACUAUACUCUACAGAAGGACCGGAAAGGGUAAGGCCUGGGUACCAUGAUGAUGGUCAAACAUUAACACCUAUGGCUAGCCUAACACUCCAUCAUGCCAUUCAUAACAUGCAGCUACGAGAUAAUUCUCAAGGUAUCCAUAGGCAUGUUAUCCACCUUCCCAACCGUCGUUUUAUUUGUUUUCUUAUUUGUAUUUAUACAUGCAGACGACACUGCUUCCGAACAUCAUGAAACUCUAUCAUUAAAUAAUGAAUGCAAAAAAUACGCGGAUAAUGCAAGGGCGGAGUACAAUGCAAGGAAACGUGCAGCUUAUCGGAUUAAACGAAAUGAGGAUAGUGUCAGCUUACAAAAUGAGAAUCAGCCGGUAGUUGCAAAAUCUGGUAAGCUUGAUGGACACUCUUAGUUUGAUGUGCAUACGUAUGUUGCGUAGUAGGUAAUAUUGUGCUUAUAUCCCGGGUAACAGAAUGUAUGAUGCACAAUAAUUUGCCACUUAUUAGAUCAUAGGGAUCUUAUCAACGCUCGUAGGGACAUGAUAAGGCUUCUUUCAGCAUUGACCAGCCAGACGCUGAUGGUAACAUUGAUGAGAUCAAGAGAUACGUUGACGCAAGAUGGGUCACCCCUCCGGAGGCUAUGUGGAGGAUAUUUGGUUUCCCACUGUGUGCCAAUUACCCGCCUGUCUUGCAGUUGCCUCUUCAUCUCCCGAAUAUGCACAGGGUUGCAUUCAAUGCACAGGCUGACUUGAACAAUGUUGUUUCCUCCGAGAAUGCUUCAAAAUCCAUGUUAACGGAAUAUUUCAAGGCAAACGAAAAACACCCUUGGGCAAGGCAUAUAUUGUACAAGGAUUUCCCCGGAAGCUUCACGUGGGAGAAGAAGAAGAAGUUCUGGAAGAAGCGAGUGGAGCGUUUUCAGAUAGGUCGUAUCGUGUCUGCCAAUCCUGCCGAGGGGGAGCGAUACUACCUUCGUGUGUUGUUGAACCAUGUUACAGGGAAAACAUCAUUUGAGGACUUGCUCACCGUCAACGGCGUUGUAUGUGGGAGCUUUAGAGAGGCCGGUGAAAGGUUGGGACUCAUCGAGGCAAACAACACGCUCGACGACUGUCUUACUGAGGCGGAGUAGUGGGCUAUGCCAUGUUCUCUUAGGAGGCUCUUUGCAACAAUAUUGGUGCACUGCGAGCCAGGCGAUGUGCGCGGUUUAUGGGAUAGACACCUCGAGCCUAUGUCCGAUGACUUCCGUCGGACACGCACGUCCCCGAACGAGGUGGAGCAGAUGGUGUUGCUUGACAUUAGGGGUAUGUUGCAGUCGAUGGGUAAAGACAUUAUUGAUUUCGCUCUUCCAACGAUCGAUGAUGCGUUUGACCCAACCGAGGGCGAGGCCAGAGAGAUCAUCGAGGAAUCAACUGUUGAGUUUGACGAAAGUGACACUAAAUUGUCAUCUUCCCUGAAUUUUGAGCAAAGGGCUGCAUACGAUGAAAUACUAGCGUCUGUUGAAUGUGGUGAUGGGGUAUAUUCUUUGUUGAUGGUCCUGGAGGUACGGGGAAGACCUUCCUCUACAGGGCGAUGCUCGCCAAGGUGAGGCGCGAGGGCAAGAUUGAUAUCGCUACCGCGAUGUCGGGUGUCGCUGCUUCUAUCAUGCCUGGCGGCAGGACUGCCCACUCAAGGUUCAAAAUCCCACUGAGUUGCGAUGAUGGAGCGUCGUGCAACUUCACCAAGCAAAGUGGGACCGCCAAGCUGCUAAGGGUGGCCUCAUUGAUACUAUGGGACGAGGCCAGCAUGACUAAGCGACAAGCGGUUGAGGCAUUAGACAAUAGCAUGCGCGACAUCAUGGGAAUACGCGACCGACCCUUUGGAGGAAAGACAGUUGUUUUUGGCGGGGACUUUAGGCAGGUGCUUCUGGUCGUCAGAAGGGGGUCACGGGGCCAGAUAAUUGAUGCAAGCCUCCGAAGUUCUCAUCUAUGGAAGAGUAUGCGACAGCUUCGGCUCAUCACCAACAUGAGGGCUGGUAAUGACACUUGGUUUGCAGAUUACUUGCUCAGGGUCGGUAAUGGCACUGAGGAAGCCGACGACCAAGGCAACAUAAUACUCCCUGAUGAUAUUUGUCUGCCAUCAACAGGUGAGGUUGACGACCUGGAGAAGCUGAUUGACCACGUGUUUCCAAGUCUAGAUGACAACAUGGCAGAUUCGAGUUACAUGACAUCUCGCGCAAUCCUUUCCACGACAAAUGACAACGUCGACAAGAUAAACAUCCGCUUGAUAGAGCGUUUCCAAGGAGAUGAAGUAAUCUACCAUAGCUUUGACAGUGCGGAGGACGACCCAUAUGGCUACUAUGCUCCUGAGUUUCUAAAUGGAUUGACUCCCAAUGGUCUUCCUCCGCAUGCACUCAAACUAAAGCUGAACUGCCCUGUGAUACUUCUAAGGAACAUUGAUCCAGCUAAUGGUCUGUGUAACGAGACUAGGCUUGUUGUUAGAGGUUUUGAGAUGAACACCAUUGAUGCAGAAAUCGUGAUUGGACAACACGCUGGUAGGAGGGUCUUCCUUCCUCGAAUACCUCUAUGCCCAUCUGACAACGACAUGUUUCCUUUCAAGUUUAAGAGGAAGCAAUUUCCUAUAAGGCUUAGCUUUGCUAUGACGAUUAACAAGGCUCAAGGGCAGACCAUCCCCAUUAUUGGUGUGUAUCUAUCUAAUCUAGUGUUCUCUCAUGGUCAACUCUAUGUUGCUUUGUCUCGAGCCAUCGUGAAGAGAAACAUUAAAAUACUUAUUCAGAAGGAGAAGCCAAAGGAUAAGGCCAACAAGCAACAUAACAACCUGAAGAAGCGUAAAAGACCGACCGUUUCCUUGCUGACUUCAAUGAAGAACAUCGUCUACAAGGAAGUACUUACAGGAUGAAGUUAGGUCGUAUAAGACCUGGUGGAAUUAUAUAUGCAAUUUACUCUUCCGAUGGUCAAGAAUUGCUGUAAUGCGGUUGUAUGACAUAUUUUUUCAUUUGGUAUCUCGGUUGUUAGAGGUAUACACCAAUAAGUUAAAGUAAUAAAUCCAUUUCAAUAAAUUUAUACUGUGUUAUGUGUAAUCUGAUUUUGUACAUGACACACAGCGUACUGUGUUAUGUGUAAGACUAGAAUCAGAAAUAAUGAUUGGUUUCAUGAAGAUCUGCAUCAUGUUUAAUUAAUAUUUAACCUUUAUCACUGUUAUUUGCUUUCCACUAUCGCAAUUUUUCUGGCAAUGUAUAUGUCACACAGCGUACCGUGUUAUUUGUAAUUUGAUAUUCCGAAAUAAUGUUUGGCUUCAUAUAGAGCCGCUACCUGUUACAUUUACUUUGUACAGUUUGAUUAAAACCUGUAGCAUGCAUGUGAUGUCAUCAUUUAGCAUGCAGAUUAUAUUUGAUACAUUGAAUUUCAGUGUGUGAUAAAUUUAUUUACAUACUCAUUAAAUGGCUAAAAUCUUACAUGUUGGCCUACUGCCUUGAGCUUUAUGAGUGUGUAUGACUGUGUAAUAUAUCCUUUGUUCAACCCACUUUUAAAUGGUGUGCAUUUUUCAUGUACAGCUAUAGCUAUGAAGGUCUCUUUUUAUUUAGUUCCCUAAUUCUUGUUUAUUUUUUGAUGUUCUCAUCCCUCUUUGAACAAGGAGAUGUAAGUAAAUGAUACAGCUGGCACAAACUUGAAUGAAAUGUUGAUGCAUUCAACGUAGACUUGGACAUGUUACAGCUGGCACAAACAGUAUUCAACGUGGUUCUAAUAAAAUCCCGUGUAUAAGUAAAUGUUACAGCUGGCACCAUCAUCGUUGUUAUAUCUUUUCUACUAUCGCAAUGUUUAUGGCAGUGUACAUGUCACCCACCAUAGUAUUUCAUGUGUAAUAUGUGAUUUAGAUAUAAUGAUUGGCCUGAAAAAUACCUGGAACAUGCAAUGAAACUUUUGUUUUAUGGCAAGUGAUCAUGUCCAUUGUUAUUAUUUUGAUAUUUUGAUAUUUUGAUAUUAUGGUUGAAUGUAAAUUUAUUGGCGUCCUUAUUAUCCCUGUAUGUAUCUGAUAGGUCAGAAGUAUAGGAUUACGACUGGUCCUAAUUAUAAGACCAACACACGCAGAACGGAAUUUUGUGCAGCUUUUCAAGAUAUAUUUUCCAUAUGUACAUCUAAUAAAUAAUAAAAUGGUAGCCUGCGUUCUUGCAAAUAUGCUCAAAUGCCCGUGUGACUUUGGAAAAAAGAUUGAUUACUUGUACUUUCAUGCGUCUAAACUAAUUAUUUAUUAGUUCAGUUCAAGUUUCAUUUUUAUUUUUUGCAUUGGUUCAUGUACCUUCAUUAGUUUACUGCGGAUCUGAAAGAGUUCUAACCUAAAAAAUUGUACAAGGCUGCAUUAAACGAUUGGUUCAGAGAGCAAGCAUCGUUCUGCAGUAUCUUAAGGACGCUUGUUGGGCUGAGGGUGGUCGACUUAUAGGUUGCACCCAGCCAAGACGAUUGUCUGUGCAGGUAUCAACUGUUUAAAUGUUCAUCAAAAUGUGUAUCCUUCUCUAGAUGCCAUGUAAUACUAGGUUUCUCUUUUUACCUUCUGACAUGAGCAUGCACCAGAUUAUUCUUUUGGGUACGUCCCUAGCAACUAGCAUGGCGAGUAAGGAUCUUAGCUAAUUAUCUAGAGCAAGCUUCUAUAUUACUUAUGGAUAUGCUGGUGCAACAUGAAUCAAACCCGGGCAACAUGAAUCUAAGAAAUAAAUUAUUAGAGAUAGAUAACUCCUAAAAGAUAAGCUUGGAGGACUUUUGCAGAGCUCCCAGCCACGGAGAUUUAUCCAGCUUCCACUUUGUUACCUAGCCGUUUGUGAUGACAGGGUUGCCAUGUGGUAGUGGCCAUAGUGCCCAAAAGUGUGUCUGUAACAGGAGACUUCAUCCUGCAAAAUUAUUCAUGUGCUCCGGCAGUGAUUUCUAACAUCCUAUACGGAGCAGUCAUCUGAUAGAACCAUGUCUGUACUAAUUAGAAGAUGGUAGCUGAACUUUUGUUUACUGCAUUGGUAUUACUAAUUUCCAUAUGUUUGAAUUUUUUUACAAGGUAUGGGUUGCGUUCUAUUUUACAUUUGUUGUCAAUGUAUUUUUUAUGUAGUACUAUGUCACUACUAUAUAACACUGAUUUUUAGCGUAGAUAUCCAUGAAGCCAGCCUCAUGACACUUGACGAAACACGUGCGUACGUCAAUGGUGUUGUUCAAGCUAGGAACAAUGGAGACUAGAAGUAUCUGUGUACACAAGUGCACAAUUUGGAGAAUGUGACAAUGCACGUGUCUGAUCGCUGAAGUGUGCAGUAUUUUGGAAAAAAGAUUUAUUAUCUGUACUUUCACGUAUCUAAACUAAUUAUUUAUCAGUUCAGCUCAAGUUUCAUUUUAAUUUCUUGCGUUGGCUCAUGUACCUUCAUGAGUUUAAUGCUGAUCUGAAAGAGUUCUAACCUAAAAAAUUGUAGAAGGCUGCAUUAAUCUAGGACCUAGCGAGUAUUGGUUCAGAGAGGAAGCAUCGUUCUGUAGUAUUUUAAUGACGCUGGUUGGGCUGAGGGUCGUCGACUUAAAGGUUCCACCCAGCCAAGACGUUUGGCUGUGCAGGUAUCAACUGUUUAAAUGUUCAUCAAAAUGUGUAUCCUUUUCUAGAUGCCAUUUAAUACUAGGUUUCUCUAUUUACCUUCUGAUCAUAGCAUGCACCAGAUUAUAUUCUUUUGGGUACGUCCGUAGCAACUAGCAUGGCGACUAAGGCUCUUAGCUAAUUAUCUAGAGCAAGCUUUUGUAUUACUUAUGGAUUUUCUGGUGCAACAUGAUUCAAACCCGGGCAACAUGAAUCAAAUAAAUAAAUUAUUAGAGAUUGAUAACUCCUAAAAGAUAAGCUUGGAGGACUUUCUCUGGCCUCAGCCACGGAGAUUUAUCCAGCUUCCCCUUUGUGACCUACCCAUUUGUGACAGGGUUGCCAUGUGGUAGUGGCCAUAGUGUCCAAAAGUGUGUCUGUAACAGGAGACUUCAGCCUGCAAAAUUAUUCAUGUGCUCCGGCAGUGAUUUCUAACAUCCUAUACGGAGCAGUCAGCUGAUUGAACCAUAACUGUACUGCUUAGAAGAUGGUAGCUGAAAAUGUUUGAAUUUGUUUCCUGCUCUUAGGCUACCUUUGUAGAUGCAUAUCCUCUGCUCUCACUUACCUUUUCAACCCAUUUUAAUAAUUUGGACAGACGCUUGCAUCUAGAGUAGCUGAAGAAGUUGGUGUGGAACUUGGAGAAGAAGUACGAUAUACAAUAAGAUUUGAGGAUGAAACAAACCCUGUAUGAUAUAAGUUUUUAUCCUUUCACUGAUUUUCUUUGUCUGAAUUCUACAGCGUGGAACACAUUUUUGUACUAAUUUGUUUAUUGUCAUGUACUCUGCUUAUGCCUACAUCGUUUGACACGGCAUGACCAUGUUCAUAUUGCCUACAUCCGUGCGUUUGCGUGGCCGCCGAGGCUGGAUACCUGGAGCUGCUAGAAGGAUGGUGGCAUCGGCCGCUGCUGGAGGGGAUCAGUUCGUUUCGAGGUGUAGGGAGAGAAUAGAGGGACGGAUGGAGGAAGGCGAAUCCAUGGGCUUGCUGGCUUCUGCUGCUCCUUUCGGGAGAGAGCGAGAGAUGAGCCAUUUUUUUGACCGUAUGAUGUCGCUCAUGUGCUGCUUCUGCUAAUGCAUGGACAGAGAGUGGCAUCUGUCUAAUACCGUUGCUGCUAAUGCAUUGGCAUAGAUAGACAAAAUUAUGUUUAUCAUUUGUACGUAUGUGUGUUGUACAGAUUGUUAUGAUGAAAAAGAACAAAAAAUAUGAUCUUUUGCAAAUCUUUGUUUGACAGAAAUAUUUGUAGUCCAAUAAUAUUUUUUGAUAUACAUUAGGAUCGUAAAUUUAUUGUGUUAUACAUGAUUUAUUUGAAAAUACUAAUAUUAACAUUUGUCCCGUAGCUAUGCACGGGCAAUAACCUAUAACAUAAUUAAAGAUAUCAUCAAGGUAAUGGAAAAUAACAUAAUAGAAGGGAAAACAAUAAAUAAAUUAAUGUGAUUAUCAUAAAGGUUAAGAAAUAUUCAUAUAGAAGAAAAUUAAUUUUUCAUAGGCAACUGAAAAAUCAGAUACGUUUUCAUAGGCAAGUGAUCAUAAAUCACAAAUUUGCAUUAAUGAAAUAUAAUAUGAAUCAUUACGAAGGAUCAUGGCCCGAUUUUGAGAUGUCUGUUUCCUUGUUUAAUAAACAAUUUUUAAUAGGCUGCCAAAUAUUAAAUAUCUUAAUAUAGAUAUGUCACCCACGGGGGCGUAGCCAGCCAAAAACAAAUUUUCAUCACUAUUUCGUUUUCCCGCCGCCCUAUGCUUAUAUAAAAAAGCCCCGCUGCACCAUAUUUGUCACCAUCUUUAUGUAGAGGAGAAGUCAUCUCCUCCACGACUACAAUGGUAAUCUCAUAUGGAUCGUUCACCUCUAAGAGGAUGAUGGCGUCGCCGCCAGUUCCUGUCAUCAGUCAACCCAUCACCCCUCCGAUUAACAGGCAAGAUAGAAUAAUCUUUUUGUACGUAUAGUUGCCAUCACUAGAUAAUGUGUUAUUUUAUUGAAAUAAUCACCAUUGUUUGGCCACUAUAAUGUUAUGUUCGUUGUUUGGUUAUUUUUAUCCUCCCCUUGCAAAAUAAUUUUACCUCAUCCUUUUGUUUUUAUUCUACGCACAGGAACUUGAAUUGUCAUCGCGUCCAAAUGGAGCACAUAUAUCAGAAUUGCUAGAUUAUUCAAGCUAGGGUCAUGUGGAAGGCUCACAUCAAAGAGAAUGCCAUGGGAAACUUGUACCUUCAGUUCAUACUACUUGAUCGGCUGGUAAGGCAUUAAUCAUCUACUUGAUAGCCCGCAUUUUCAAAAUACAAUAUUGAUAAACAUGUAUUUUUUUGCUCAUAGUUGUUAUGAUUCAUAAAUAUAUAUUAGGGAACAAAGUUGGAAGCGAUUGCGUACAACAGGCAGGCAAUCCGUUUCAACAACAUACUACAAACCGGUAGGACCUAUGAUUUCAAUCGCGUCCGGUUCAACCCCACAGAUUUGCCAGAUGGACAUUUCUGGUACCUAGCCAUGGACUUUGUCACCACACUAACUGCUACGACUGAGGUUAGGAUGUCGGCACAGCAAAUAACACCGACAAUUUUCCCACCGUGCUUCCCACAGUUUGGAGAAAUAUUUGAGCUACGGGACAAAACCAUCACUGGUGCAUCAUCUUUAUAUUUGUUCUCGCAUAUUAAUCCGUACAACUCAGCAUCUCAUUGUUAUUUCAAAUUUGCAAUUUCAAAUUUGCAGAUGUGGUUGCUAUCCUUGCCUACGUUGGUCAGAUAGAAUAUAAGUGGGAUUCAAUAUAUGAACGCCGCGUCCCUUCACUCGAGAUUGGCCUCAUGAACUUUUAGUAAGCGCCAUUUAUGAUUUGAGAUUUUCAUAUGCUUUUUUUUGUAAUUUUAUUGUUGCAAUGAUAGACUAACAUUUGUAUUUGUCUGUAGACGGCAGAUAAUUUUCUUACGUGUACGUGAAGAGCACGUUGGGCGACACUUCUGCCACUUGCAAUGCACUGACAAGCUGUUCGAGAAGCUUGUUGUUACUUACAUUCAGGUAAAUCGAAGGCAGCGAUGCUUGCAAACUAUGAGGGAGAGCACAUUCUUCUUCUCUCCUAACAUUAAUGAUGAUCAUCAUUAUCUACAAGGUAGGGGUUGCGUUCUAUUUUAAAUUUGUUGUCAAUGUAUUUUUUAUGUACUACUAUGUCACUACUAUAUAACACUGAUUUUUAUCGUAGAUAUCCAUGAAGCCAGCCUCAUGACACUUGACGAAACACGUGCGUACGUCAAUGGUGUUGUUCAAUCUAGGAACAAUGGAGGCUAGAAUUAUAUUUGUACGCAAGUGCACAAUUUGUCUUAGAUAUAAAAAUGUAUGAACGCUUUGCAUGCAACAUUUUGUUGCCAAUUGUCACAUUAUGAAGUGUUCGAUUAUGUCUUGGAGGUUUAAUAAUAUGUGAUAUUCAAUAAAAAAAUCUAUCUAACAGUGUCGUCAUAUUUCAGAGCCAUAUAAUGUGAAGUUCUGAACUAUAUAUUUGACUAAUAUAUAUUUGAUGACCAAACUGUCCAUAAUGGACUUCAAAUGGUAGCCUGUCUACUCUCAUUUGAGCUACACGUAUGAAUCUCUUUCAGUCUAGGUUCAAAUUUGUUAAUAUACAGUGCAGCGCAAAAAGGAAAAUAUGUUUACCUUGACAGAUGCUAUCGCAUGCUAUCAUGCAUUAUGACAUUCCAAAGAUAAUAUAAUUAAUUUUGUACAUGGAAUCAAGGACUGCCGUAUGCCCAUGCGUUGUGUUUUUUUCUACACACGGAAACAAUAGUUCUUCAAGUGACGCGGGCUUUUUGAUCGUGGUGAGGAGGACAAAAAUAUAAGAAGAAAACUUUGUGUUUCUUUAUAUUUCUCAGACACCCGUGUUUGACGUAUAUUUGGGAAAUAAACUAAUUGUUUCUUUUUAUAUAUCUGGAGGCAAAGUUUGGAAAGGAGUCAUAGAUUAGGAAAUAUAUAAUCCGGCGUUGAUACAUUUGCCAGGUGGAGCAUGCAACGAAAAUAAUUUUAUACCAUGUUUUCCUAUAGUUUUUGUUAUGGAAUAUUGCCAUUACAGAAGGAUAUGGGCCACCUUCUGAGUACAUGCCCACGAUUCCUCCCGGCGAGGAUAUGUCAAUUAGAAUUAUAAUUAUCAUUAAAGUCAUUUCCUUCCAAAAUGUUAUAUUGUCCAAUCUCCCGGUCCGGCCUACCAUACGUUCAAUGGGUUUCCCAGUGUGGCCAUUAAUAUUCCCUUAAUCGGAUAUGUUUCUAAGGAAAGUUAUAUUAGGCUUCUUCCGAUCGGGAAAGAGAGACAUAUAUAAUAGAUAUAUAAUCCGGCGUAUAUUUAUUUGCCCAAUGGAGUUUGGAAGAAAAAUAUAUGCUUGUCCUUUUAUUAGCAAGGAUCUAUAAUGGAAACGUGCACGGAUGGAAUAAUAAAGGGCACCUUCCAAUCCAUACAACAUGCUAAUGCGUCACCGACCUGGUGCCGGACACUCAUAUAUACUCAUAUAUAUGGUCCGGCUGUGAGUCCACCGUUGUCCACUGCCCCCUCGCUCGCUCGUUUUGGUGCUAAGACGACUUUCUGCCCGUGCCAAUGGCUGCAAUGCCGAUUUUUGAUGGAGUGAACGACGCAGUCGAGUACAUAUACAACUACGUCAUGCUUUCCUCAGUCGAGGAGCAGUUAGAGUUUGUUCUGGCAUCCCUAAACUCUAUCUAUAAUUUAUUUGCAAUUAUUAGCUGCAGAUCAGUACCAUUAUAUUAUGCAUUAUCGGCAUCUUAUUUUGAACCCGAGUAAAAAUUUGUUCUUUCACAUAACCCACGUCGAUGAGUUGGUCACGUUCAUAAGUUGUUGCAUGGAUGCACUGGUUAGGAUCAUGCGAUCCUUUCUAAGUCUAUACGGUUCUUAAGAUCUAACGUAGUGGUUGCAAAAAUCUGUUCAUGCGCUAAUAUUAUCCUUUUACAUUACGCCAUGUUAGUACCAUCCACAGCACGUUAUUUUAAACUACAAAUUUUCAAUGAACUGUAGUAUAUUGCAACGGGUCCUGGUGCAUGAUACAUGUACCAUUUAUAGUUUUUAUCAUAUGUGUAAUAGGAAUAAGUUGCAACCGAACAUAUCAUAAUAGAUUUCGUUAUCUUAUGAAAUAGUAUUUAUUUCCUCAAAUGACAUGACAACUCCAAUUUUUAGGUACACACAUUUCAGACCUUUCUAGAGUUGUGAAUACUAAGUAUUGUUUGCCCACAUAUUGAAGUACAAUAUUUUUAUGAUACCCUGAUUUUAUCAGGCCGGUUUAUUUGCAGCACAAUAUGGAUAAGGAGCCCUCGUCCAUUCGUGAUCGAGUUAAGUCUACGGACUAUCCAAGACACCAUGCGAGGUGAUACAUGGAUCAAUCCGAGCUGCUUCGAUAUUGCAGUGCGUAAGCUUAGUAGGGACGCGAUACAGAGGAACGCAGGAACAGACUUUGUUGGCUCCACACAUAUAUUUGAUUUGCAAUUCCAUGGCCUAGCACAGGUGCUGAGUCAGACUAGCUUAUGCCAAGCUGAACGCACCAACUUGUUGAUUAACAAUGUCAUUGUACGGCCUUUGCCGAAAUACAACGUGCUCAUGACCCCUUCCAUUGUAAGGAUUUUCCUUUUUAAAAUUUGGUGUGUAUACUAUCUGUUCACCAUUAACUUUGUAUACUUAUUGUAGUACCUAUUGCCGUUGUAUUUGGUGGAUUCCUCGUACGGCCUCCUUGCAAUUAAUACUGAAAAUAGGAGGACUCUCCCGAUUGAUCAUUCUAACGAGUCAUUCAUAGGCUCAGAGGACUUUCAUGACAAGGAACUUAAGAAGGAAGCCCUGAUAGUUCUGCAAGAAUUUGGCAGUGUAUUGCAACAGGAGAGGCCUGGUUUGAAUCCCCAACUCGUGGAUUGGCCACAAGAUCAUACCUAUAUUACAGCCCCGCGGUAAAUGUUUUAAUUGGUCAUGCACAUUAUAGCCUCACUGGUAUAGGUUCUAACAUAUGGAGUUUUUUUGUCACAGCCUGGACUCUGGAUUCAAACUCCUACAAGAGAUGGCUCACCAAGAUGAUACUCUCGGGCAUAACAUUUCCAGGACUUCGGUAGGUGCAUAUAUAACAAGUUUCUCUCUUCCAUAUAUUUGUUGAAUAUAAAUUUUUGUUCUUCCACUCACAUAGGUUUGUUGUGCAAUUCAUUCUUCAGCAAUUUAUUCCCUACAUAUAUAUAACAAUUCAUUUUUUUAUGUUUUCUAGGAUGCAAUACAGCUCAGAAAGAACUUGCUGGUCCAGAUGCUGACGAUCAAAGGCAAUGAAGCAGCUGGAAACAUCCCAGCUGAAAUUACAGCGGCCUUGAUGUUUUUGGACGAAUGAAUAUCGUAUCCGCGUCGAGCACAACCGAGCGCCUCUAUUUCCGGUGAGGCCAACUAUCCAGAAUCCUCCCGCAUCUUAAAUCCAUUGACGCUUUUCUAUUAUAGGCUUUGUUCUAUGUAGAUACCGAAUUAGCACCGCUAAACUUUUAAUCUGGAAAUACCACUAUAGAGUACUUUGCCCUGUAAUUAACAAGUCUUCCUUCGUUGCCGCGCAAGUACUUCUCUUGCAUUCCCUGAAAUAUAAAGUAUAUACUAUCUCUACUUCCUAAUCAGUUUGAAAGAUUAAUUCAAACUAUGCAUGCUCCUAAGAAGGAGAAGUUCUUUAUUAUCUUGCAUGUACUUUCACCAGAAUGAUUAUUUUCGUUAUACCUCACUGACCAAUGAUGUCAGGCUUUACUUCGUCCAAAAUCAGCACAUACCAGCUAGCGAAUAUUCAACAUAAAAAUAUGAUGGUUAUAGGCACAUACCUUUCAUUGCCUUUAAUCUUCAAGUUCUCCUUGAUCUGCUCUCUACCCAUGUUCGAACAUGAUCCAAAUUUCUCUUUCAUGCUCAUGAGUUUCUAAUAACACACUGAAUUACUUUUAUGUGUUCCUGAAUAGAGUAACCAAAUUAAGUGAAAAUGGGUUUUCUUCUUGACUACAUAAAGUAGAAGACGGUACCAGCAUUUUCCGACAAAGAGGGAGGGGGAGGAAAUAAUUUAUCAUUAAGCUACUCUAAGGGAGUCACAUCUUUUAGAUUCAUCUUUAAAUGUAAGGAGAAAGCUGUGAUAAUGUAGCCAUAGAGGAACAAAUCCAAAAUACACAAAACAAAUACAUUGUAGCUAUCAUGAGUUUUGUUGUUGGGGUCAGGCAAUUGAAGAUUGUGGUCAUAAAUGCAGUAAAGCAUGCCUCUACUUAUGAGAGAACAACUGAAAUUACAAUAAACUCCACACUGAUUAUAAGUAUAUUGUUUGUACAAAAUGCUAAAAAGGAAAAUAGGUCUUCAUAAAUUGAAGAUAGUUCAGCCACAUCAGAUUCAGCACUACACAUAACUCGCGUACAUAUAUGCAUUGUUAAAUACACUUGCUAAUCACAUCAAUACAAAAAUUUCCUUUUGAGGUUUUGCAGCUCUUUGGAAAUAAAACAAAAGCAACCAAAGGGCAGCUUCGAAUACCUUGCCUGCGGAGACCAUGCAUGUUCAGCAAUGAACCUCACCAGGACUCAAUCAUUUGGCAUGAACAGAAUGCUGGGCUGCAGCACACAACAAGAAGAACCAGUUCAACACGGAGUUAAUUUGAAAAAACCAAUGUCCAAGACAAUUUGUAGUUAACAAAAAUUAACAUUAUUGUUUCAGCUAACAACAAAAAUUAACAUUAUUGUUUUAGUUAACAACUCCUUUCUUGCACGGACAUGUAUUAUGUGAUCAAGCAGUAAAAAGCAUUUAAGGGAUUAUCUAAGUAAAAAAUUUAGAGAGAAAAACAAAACUUUCAGACCAUGAACCACCGGUCUUCACAAAAUAAGUUGUCUGAGGUUAGUUAUCUGCCUAAGAGAGCGUGUACUGCACGUCGAUGAUGCCCAUUUGCUCUAUAGGAUCCUGCACAAUUUACAGAUGUUUUUCCACUAUCAUGCGCCCAUGGACGAGGCACCUUUAGAAGUGUUUGGCAUAUUAUGCAUCUCCGAAAAUAUUUAAAUCAGACCCCAUGCGUGGAACAACUUGUUCUGCCUGAUAUAUGUGUGCAACAUGUCAGAUGCAAAUAAUUCGAUCAACUAAUUAUUUAGUCUAAUCAGCAUUGUGCUAAGCAAUCAAUCAAUCAAUUUAUAUAUUGGUUCAUAUGCCAACACAUCUACAAACAUCCCUGGUAAAUACUGGAGCCAACACCUCCACAAACCCGUGUGAGCUGCAACCUCCACACACAGAAUUGCCUGCUAUUGAUUGAAGAGGAAGAGUAGCUAUACCUGGUACGGCUCUAUGAACUGUUCUCAUCUGCGUCGACCGCAUCCGAAGCCUCGACGGCCACCAUCCUUCUCAUGUCGCUGGCACGGCAGGCUCGACAAAGGGGCGGGUGUCGAUUUGGGGAGAGGAGGACUCGGCCCCGAGGCGGUAGAGGCACGGGAAGGACCCGUCGCCGCUGGCGGCGGCGAGGACAAGUCGAGCACUGCCAAGCGCGGCCGCGAGAUUCGCAAGGUCGGCGCGAGCAGGGCAGUCGGCGAAGACGGCAUGGGCAGGGAGGCGGCGAGGUGCUUCCUAGGAGAGCGAGCGGCGGUCGAGGAGGCCGAGGAUCAGGGAGAGGCGGAGGCUGCGGCUAGCGGUGGGAGAAGACU
rnacentral:lncRNA from 1 species